rnacentral:rRNA from 1 species
GGAAUGAUGGGAAUCUAAACCCCUUCCAGAGUAUCAAUUGGAGGGCAAGUCUGGUGCCAGCAGCCGCGGUAAUUCCAGCUCCAAUAGCGUAUAUUAAACUUGUUGCAGUUAAAAAGCUCGUAGUUGAAUUUCUGCUGUUUCGUUGACUGCGCUUGGCGUUUGUCAUCGUUGCGGCUUGGUUGGGUUUCGAUUAUUCGUUUCCCGGCGUUUACUUUGAGAAAAUUAGAGUGCUUGAAGCAGGCUUUUGCCUUGAAUACUUUAGCAUGGAAUAACGGAGUAGGAC